rnacentral:lncRNA from 1 species
UGAUUUUUAAUGUAAAAAUAAAAUAUAAGAACUGUUUUUGGACUUCUUUCUUUCUUUGUUGAGACAGAGUCUUGCUCUGUUGCCAGGCACCAGGCUGGAAUGCAGAGGCACAAUCUCGGCUCACUGCAACCUCCGCCUCCUGGGUUUAAGCAAUUCUCCUGCCUCAGCCUCCCAAGUAGAUGGGACUACAGACUCGCAGCACCACGUCUAGCUAAUUUUUGUAUUUUUUAGUUAAGAGGGGGUUUCAGGAUGGUUUCAGGCUAGGAUGGUUUCAAUGUCGUGACCUCAUGAUCCGCCCACCUCGGCCUUCUAAAGUGCUGGGAUUACAGAUGCAAAAUAUAGAAAAGCACUUUGCAUCAGUCCAUCAGGAAGCACCGAGACUGGUAAGAAAAGCAGAGAACUGCUCUGUUUCCUCUGGAAUGAAGUUUCCUGUACUGAGUAUGUGAGCUGCUGUUUUCAGUUCUACCAUGUGCAGAAUAGAGGUAACAUUUGCAGUAUCCAGAGAUUAGGAAAUGGACAAUCUUUAGGGGUCAAGUCAGCCCAUCACAGCUAGAUUUUUAUUAUCGAAUACAUUUUCAAAGAAGAGAAAUAAAUGAUUUAGUACAUGCAUGUACUUCAGGUACAAACAGCUUGAAAUGCUUUGUCUUUAUGGCUUUCACAACUGUUAUUUUAUGAAUUAAAAGCUAUUACUCAUUAAUAACAACUUUAUUUGUUUUAAAGUUCUUGGAUCAUGACUUUUGUUUAUCUUCUAAUGACUGUACUACUACUAUCACAUACUCUGAUG